AGAUGGGGAUCAUUUGGCCUACGAGAACUGGCCCGAUUCAAAGAGCUGUUGGACAGGCCUGUCACAUUGAAGCCUGAUGGGCCCGAUAAUGAAGAUAGGACUAAGUAGUCUUAGAAGUUCUAAUUGUACACAGCUUCUAAUUCUGUAAAGUUAGAGUCCUAAUUGAAUAUAGCUUUUAAUUGUAGCCAUCGGUUUUGGGGGAGCUCAACUAUAAAUAGAGAGCCUCCCCCUCAUUUGUACUCACUCUUGAAUUGUUUCAUUAUUCUUUGUGAAUAAGAAUUGAGAGCAUUUACUCAAACUUUUCUCUCAAGCGUUCUUGCUUUUGUUCAUCUUUCAAAGAUCAUUCUUAAUUCGUUCUUCCGCUGUUCUUCAUGGAAACUUUAAGGGAAUUCUGUUGAAUCAUUUAUUGUUGCGAGUUGAGCUGACUUAGGCGUUUUUACGGUUGAAUCCAUUAUUGGUGGAAGUUAGGCUGACUUAGGCGUUUUUAAGCCAAGAAACUACCUAAGGCCGCACGGAUGUGUGGGAAAACUCCAAGUCCGUGACAAGUGGUAUCCGAGCCAAGGUUUGAACCAAGUAAUAUUCGAGUUGUUGGUUCAAAGGCACCGUUGGGAUGUCGAAAGAAGAGUUCGAACAAAGGUGGGCGAGGAAGUCUUUAAGGGAGACAAUAUCGGCAGUAGAGGAACGUGUGGGUAAACUCGAGGGAUCCAUGGAGGAUGUAAAGGAGGCACUCGACGGGGUCGAGGAUCACAUAGCAAACUGGAAGGAGCAGUCCAGAGACUAUGUAAAGAUGUCUCUUGAUUCCACCAUGGACAAGGUAAACGAGUUGUUUAAUUCACACAGGGAUAAGCUGUCCGAAAGGAAUGAUGCUCUCGAGGCCAUGAUGAUGGCUUUGAAGGAGGAAACAAUGGCCACGACGAGGGCUUUGAGCACAAGAAUAGAGGAGCUCGAAGGAGAGCUGGCCUUGUGUCAAGCAGCCGUGGGGAAAGGAGUGGCAAAUGCAGCACUCAGUAAGGAGGAUGUCCCAAAGUCGAAAGAGUUUGUGGGGACAAGGUCUGCAUGUGAUGUGGACAAUUCUUGUGGAGGAUGGAAAACUACUUCCGUGCCAAAGGCAUCAUGGAGGAUGCGGUUAAGGUAAACACUGCUUCAAUGUUUCUUACUGACAUUGCACUUUUAUGGUGGCGAGAUAGGACCACAGAUAAAGGGCAAGGUGAGAUUGGGACGUGGCAAGAGUUUCAAUGCGAGUUAAAGGGACAGUUUUACCCAGAGAUUGCCGAGGAAGAAGCUCGGGCAAAGUUGCAAGGGAUAAUGCAACGGGGCAUAGUGGGGGAGUAUGUUCGAGAGUUCAAGGAACUCAUGCUCCAAGUUUCAGAUGUGACCGAUGAAGAAGCAUUGCUUGCUUUUCAAAAGGGAUUGAAGCCGUGGGUCAGACAGGAGGUGGAACAAAGAGGUGUCCAAAAGCUGUCGGAAGCCAUGACGGUAGUUGAGUCCGUGGGCAAGCUUGGUCUAGGGAAAGACAAGCUUGGGUCUUCCAAGUCCGAGGAAAGAGGCGUAUGUGAAAUGGAUCACAAGGAAGACCUUGUUGAUGGCAAUGGCAACGGCGACAAUGGGGGUAAUGGGAAACCACGCGUUGGGAAAAAGAAACCCAAGAGGAAAAGGGACAAGCUGAAAUGCUUUCUCUGCGACGGUCCACACAUGUUGAAGAAAUGUCCAAAGAAAUCCGCGCUUAAGGAGAAGCCAGUGGGUAAGGCCUUGGUACUUGGUUCGAGCGCAAGGGGUGUCGAAGCCAAGGAGGCCGAAAGCGAGAAGAAGCCAGUGGAGUGCUUCUUGUGUCAUGGUCUGCAUAGGUUGCGGAAGUGUCCGAAGAAGUCUGUCAUCGAGGGGAACGAUGGAGCAAACAAUGAGCCCAAGAAGCUUUGUUCGAGCAAGGGAAAAGCCGAAGCCAAGAGGGCAAAGAGGAGCAAAAAGAAGCAAGUUAAGUGCUUCUUGUGCCGUGGUCCGCAUGAGUUGCGGAACUGUCCAAAGCAAGCCGGAGUCGAAAGAAAGGCAACGUCUGAGCUUGGUGAGUCGUCGAAUGGGCUUCCACCCAAGGAAGAGGUGAGUUUGUCAUCUAACUUAGUGGAGAAAGUUGCGAUGAAAACAAUGAAGCUAGGACCAAUGAGGCUCAAGUUGAGUGAAGUAUUAGAGUUAGCCGAGUCAUCGACAAGGCUUCCACCUAUGGGAAAGGUAGGUGGUGCAUCAGACUUUAAAGGAAAAGAAGCGAUGCAUGUGGGACAGUUGACCAGAGUAAAUGCGAUGAGCAGGACGGCUCGAGUUAAGAAGCGACAAAAGCCGAGGCAAGAAUCCCAAAGAAAGGGAAAGGCUAAGGCGACGAGACGAGACCAAGGCGAAUCAAGUCAGUGCCAUUCAGAAGUCGCAACGAGGGCGUUGCGAGAAUGGGUGGGGGAGAAUGUCACGGACCGCAGUUCAAAGCCCGUGACAAGCGCACCAAAUGCAUCCAAUGGAGGUCUGUUGCUCAGAUGGGGAUCAUUUGGCCUACGAGAAAUGGCCCGAUUCAAAGAGCUGUUGGACAGGCCAGUCACAUUGAAGCCUGAUGGGCCCGAUAAUGAAGAUAGGACUAAGUAGUCUUAGAAGUUCUAAUUGUACACAGCUUCUAAUUCUAUAAAGUUAGAGUCCUAAUUGAAUACAGCUUUUAAUUGUAGCCAUCGGUUUUGGGGGAGCUCAACUAUAAAUAGAGAGCCUCCCCCUCAUUUGUACUCACUCCUGAAUUGUUUCAUUAUUCUUUGUGAAUAAGAAUUGAG
rnacentral:lncRNA from 1 species